CAGUCCCUACGGGGUGCAGCAGCUACGAAAACUGCACAAUGUGGGAAACCACGAUGCGGGCAUACCGAGUGCCAACUCUUUGAGUUGGCUGUUCUUUCGCCUAAAAAGCGGGAGAAGUAAGGGCCGGGUAAGACGGGUGCCAGCCGCCGCGGUAAUACCCGCGGCCCGAGUGGUGCUCAUUAUUAUUGAGCUUAAAGCGUCCGUAGCCGGCCUGUAAAUCCUUGGGUAAAUCGGGCAGCUCAACUGUUCGAAUUCCGAGGAGACUGCAAGGCUCGGGACCGGGAGAGGUUCGAGGUACUCUCGGGGUAGGGGUAAAAUCCUGUAAUCCUGAGAGGACCACCAGUGGCGAAGGCGUCGAACUAGAACGGAUCCGACGGUGAGGGACGAAGCCCUGGGGCGCAAACGGGAUUAGAUACCCCGGUAGUCCAGGGUGUAAACGCUGCGGG
rnacentral:rRNA from 1 species